UGUGUGAAGAAGGCCUUCGGGUUGUAAAGCACUUUCAGUGGGGAGGAUAGGUUCUUGUUCAAUAGACGAUACCUGUGACGUUACCCACACGCAAGAAGCACCGGCUAACUCCGUGCCAUGUCAGCCGUCGGUCAAUACUUGACGUGGUGCGUAGCGUUACAUCGUGAAUCUCACUGUGGCGUAAAGCGCGCGUAGGUGGUUUGUUAAGUCAGAUGUGAAAGCCCAGGGCUCAACCUUGGAACUGCAUUUGAAACUGGUUAACUAGAGUUUUGUAAAGGGUGGUACAAUUUCAGGUGUAGCGGUGAAAUGCGUAGAGAUCUGAAGGAAUACCAGAUGGCGAAGGCGGCCACCUGGACUAAGACUGACACUGAGGCGCGAAUGCNUCGGGUAGCAAACGGGCAUUAGAUACCCCGGUAGUCCACGCAGUAGACGAUGUCUACUNGAAGUUUGUGGCUAUAUGACGUGGUCCUUCAGAGCUAACGCAUUAAAUAGAUCGCCUGUG
rnacentral:rRNA from 1 species